AGAAGUGUGCCCGAGCUAGGGGCUACCUUGAUAGAGUAGACACAGGACCAUCCUCACUUCUG
rnacentral:tRNA from 1 species